CAGCAGCCGCGGGAAUACGAAGGGGGCUAGCGUUGUUCGGAUUAACUGGGCGUAAAGGGUGCGUAGGCGGAUUUUUAAGUCAGGGGUGAAAUCCCAAGGCUCAACCUUGGAACUGCCUUUGAUACAGGGGAUCUUGAGUCCGGGAGAGGUGAGUGGAACUGCGAGUGUAGAGGUGAAAUUCGUAGAUAUUCGCAAGAACACCGGUGGCGAAGGCGGCUCACUGGCCCGGAACUGACGCUGAGGCACGAAAGCGUGGGGAGCAAACAGGAUUAGAUACCCCAGUAGUCCCUGUCUCUUAUAC
rnacentral:rRNA from 1 species